AAACAACCCCCAUCAAGGUUGACCUCGGAUCAGGUAGGGAUACCCGCUGA
rnacentral:rRNA from 1 species